rnacentral:sRNA from 12 species
UCCUGACAGCGGCGCUGUGCCGCUGACUCUAGCCACGACAGGAGUUACCCAUG